rnacentral:rRNA from 1 species
UACGGAGGAUGCGAGCGUUAUCCGGAUUUAUUGGGUUUAAGGGGUGCGUAGGCGGAUCGUUAAGUCAGUGGUCAAAUUGAGGGGCUCAACCCCUUCCCGCCAUUGAAACUGGCGAUCUUGAGUGGAAGAGAAGUAUGCGGAAUGCGUGGUGUAGCGGUGAAAUGCAUAGAUAUCACGCAGAACCCCGAUUGCGAAGGCAGCAUGCCGGCUUCCUACUGACGCUGAAGCACGAAAGCGUGGGGAUCGAACAGG